rnacentral:lncRNA from 1 species
AAUUGUUGUGUCAACCUAAUCUAGCCCUGAGUUUUCCCAACAGAACCUGAGGAAUCUUCUUUCUGUAAUAGUUUUCUAAGGUAUCUUCUAACACCAGAGCACAGGUAUGAGAAGCUUCUCCCUGUUCCUCCUUUUUCUUUUUCAGGCAUGUGGUAUGAAGCAGCAGAGCUAAUAUGGGCCUCCAUCGUAGGAUAUGUGACCCUUCCUCAGCCAGAUAAGAAGGGCAUUUCCACAUCACUUGGAAUCCUGGCAGACAUCUUUGUUUCCAUGAGCAGAAAAGAUUAUGAAAAGUUUAAAAACAAUCCACAGAUUAACUUGGGCUUGCUCAAGGAGUUUGACCACCAUUUGUUGUCGGCUGCGGAAGCCUGCAAACUGGCAGCUGCCUUCAGUGCCUACACACCCCUGUUCGUGCUCACAGCUGUGAAUAUCCGUGGCACAUGCUUAUUAUCAUACACUAGUUCUAAUGACUGUCCUCCAAGAAUGAAAAACUUGUAUCUGUGUGAAGCCAAAGAGGCCUUUGAGAUCGGCCUUCUCACCAAGAGAGAUGAUCAGGUAGUUACCGGAAAACAGGAACUUCAUAGCUUCAUCAAAGCCGCCUUCGGUCUCACCACAGUGCACCGGAGACUCCACGGAGAGACGCACGCAGUCUGUGCCGCGAGUCAGCUCUGUAACGAAGCCAUGAAGAAGCUGUACGCUUUCAGUACUUCCUCCAGAAGUCAGGACAGAGAAUCUCUGUCUCGAGAGGUCAUGUCUGUUAUCAGCCAGGUGAAGGAUCAUUUACAGGUCCAAAGCUUCUCAAAUUUAGAUGACAGAUCUUAUGUCCCAGAGAGUUUCAAGUACGGAUUGAGUAAACCUCUCUUGCAUGGACAAGUGGAUUUCCAUAAAAUCCUUGAAACCUAUUCACAGCACCAUACCUCCGUGUGUGAGGUUUUUGAAAACAUUUGUGGGAGCAACAAAAAUAAACUAAAAGACAUAAAAACAGGAGUCUGUAUCACUGCUUUAAAAACAGAAACAAAAACAACCACAGAUACCAUGACUGCGACUCAAGACAAACCAUGCUCACAAAAAGGCACGGGUCCAGAGAUACCCAGAAGGGUAGGAAGGAGAAACUGGACCCAUUCUGAGGCAUUCCGCGUCUCCCUGGAUCCAGAUGUGGAGACUGAGACUGAGCCGCCUGACCACAGCAAUGUGGGGGAAGAUGUCUGCCACAAGUCUCUGAGCAACAGCCAGAGCUCCAGUACUUGGAGCAAGUUAUCAGGGCUUAGUUCUUCUUCAAGCUGGGAGGAAGUGAAUGAUCCUAUCGAUGACAGAUCAGCUAGAAAACAAUCUAGCAAAGAAGAACAUCUUGUGGACACUGCCCCAUCUGAGGAGCUGGAGAAUGGCAGGGAUCACAGAGCUGUGCGAUCAUUGUCUUCAGAGCUUCACAAGGUUUCUCUCCAAAUAUCCCCAGAUGACAGUUUAAAGCCUUCUCAGGGCCAACCACACAAACGCAUGCCCUUCACAACCUUCUGUCCUCACAACACAACCCACACGGGCUUGGUCUCUGAUGCAGGGCUAUCAGAAGAAGCUCCAGAAGGUGUCCAGGCAGUCCAACAUGCAGGACCUGGCCAUACUUCUGCUCACUUCCAACCCUCAUGUAGUUCUGCUUCUUGGUCUUCUGAUUCUGGUAGGUUCAAGCACAUGGCCACCUGUCCUUCAAUCCAAGAAGAAGAAGACUUUGAAAUAAUCCAUGAUUUUCCAGAAACCAACUAUGAUGUCGAAGACAGACAUGGGGAAGAAAAGGGAAAAGAACUCCAUGAGAAAUAUGUGGGCCCUGUAUUUAAAGAGAGCUUCUUCUGGGUGGACCCAGAAGGAGAAACAGAGGAAAGCACAAAAGAUGUGCCUUUAGACUCUGGUGUAGUCGUGGGCAGUUCUCAGGGCCACAGUUCCAUGUUGGCAUGUAGCUCUUUCACUUAUCAGUCUGUUCAACAUCCUGACUCAGAAAAGGUGGGUGGUGGCUCAGUCAGGAAGCAGGGCAUUGACCCUGAUGCCCCAACAGAGGAUGAGGAGGGCCACCUCUUUGACAGUACAGAUGUCUGCUCCUCAGGUGGACAUGACUGUCCUAGACCAUGCACCAUGGGACAGCCACCUGGUCAGAGGACUGAGACCCCCAGUUCCUCUGUUAACAGUAACAUUCCCUUUCCUGUGCUCAGCGAGGAUGGUGCCACCACAGAAGAAGGAAAUGAACCCGGACACAUGCUAAACUGCAGCCAGAGCUCCAGCUCAUCCCUUUCAUGGUGGAUGAAGUCACCUACAUAUUCCAGUGGUUCUUCUGAGGGGGAAAGCUUAUGGUCUUCUCUGAAUUCCAGUGGAAGUUCUUCUUCUGUCUCAUCGCUAGGAAAAAUGAGGAAAGAAGUCCUUGAGGCUCGAACCCUGCAGCCCGAUGACCUGGACAAACUCUUGGCAGGAGUGAGGCAUGAUUGGCUGUUUCAGAGACUGGAAAAUACAGGCGUUUUUAAGCCCAGUCAACUCCAACGAGCUCA